UGAACAUGUGGUAGCAUGUUACCGUCGUCUUCAGCCACCAUCAUGAUUAUCUACUGGGACCUCAUUAGCCACCAUGAGAUGUUCUCCAACAUCUACAAGAUCCGUGAGAUCGAGGACAGGCUGUGCCUGGAGGUGGAGGGGAAGAUGGUCAGUAGCAUAGAAGGUAACACUGAUGACUCCCUCAUUGGUGGAAAUGCCUCUGCUGAAGGCCCUGAGGGCAAAGGUACCGAAAGUACAGUAAUCACUGGUGUUGAUAUUGUCAUGAACCAUCACCUGCAGGAAACAAGUUUCACAAAAGAAGCCUACAAGAAGUACGUCAAAGAUUACAUGAAAUCAGUCAAAGGCAAACUUAAAGAACAGAGACCAGAAAGAGUAAAACCUUUUAUGACAGGGGCUGCAGAGCAAAUCAAGCACAUUCUUGCUAAUUUCAAAAAACUACCAGUUCUUUACUGGUGAAAACAUGAAUCCAGAUGGCAUAGUUGCUCUACUGGAUUACCGUGAGGAUGGUGUGACCCCAUAUAUGAUUUUCUUUAAGGAUGGUUUAGAAAUGAAAAAAUGUUAACAAAUUUGGCAAUUACUUUGGAUCUGUCAAUUGUCAUCAUAACUGGCCUCUGCCUGUCAUCCACACAACACCAGAACUUAAGACAAAUGGGACUGAUGUCACUUUGAGCUUUUCAUUUAUUUUGACCAUGAUUUAUUUGGAGUGGAGACAUUGUUUUUCAGAAAAACAUGUCAUGUAGGUUUUCUAAAAAUAAAAUUCAUUUAAACUCGUUUGAGAGAAUGCCUUUUAGUUUAAUACGUAUUUAAACUAAAUUCAUCCUGCAAUGUCCCUGGAGAAGCUAGAGCCUGGUUGUAAGCUACUACUGGAAAGAAUAAGACUCUUCAAUUAACUUCUACAGUGGAAACUACUUCUGGGACUAGAAUAUAAAAAAGAAUCAAACGUUUUGAUUGUGAAUUGCAAUGAAGGGAAAGAGCAUGCUCAUAGCAGUGCCACCAUCUGAAGUGGAGCCUUACACAUUUUAUCACCUACAAUGGAAGUAGUUAACUGGAAGAGAUUACCAAGAGAAUAAGAAGAGACUAAUUCAGUUGGAA